rnacentral:rRNA from 1 species
UACGGAGGAUGCGAGCGUUAUCCGGAUUUAUUGGGCUUAAAGGGUGCGUAGGCGGACGCUUAAGUCAGCGGUAAAAUUGCGGGGCUCAACCUCGUCGAGCCGUUGAAACUGGGUGCCUUGAGUGGGCGAGAAGUACGCGGAAUGCGUGGUGUAGCGGUGAAAUGCAUAGAUAUCACGCAGAACUCCGAUUGGGAAGGCAGCGUACCGGCGCCCAACUGACGCUGAAGCACGAAGGCGUGGGUAUCGAACAGG